rnacentral:lncRNA from 1 species
GUUGGUGGAUGGAGUAGUACAAUGCUCGUGCGCCUCCGGAGGCUGGGUGGCGGUGUGUGAUGCUAGUGGGUGAAUGAAUGGAUCUCCCUUUCUACGGAGCAACCUAUCCUCUCUAUAUAGUGGCGUCUCGGGUCCUCUUCCCUUAUCGUUUCGGCGGGAAGGGAUACCACAGUGGCCAAUUUUGAAGGGGAACAUGGGAACAUGCUCCCCUGUCCAAAGGUGAUC